CUGGCGGCGUGCUUAACACAUGCAAGUCGAACGAGAAGAGAUGAGAAGCUUGCUUCUUAUCAAUUCGAGUGGCAAACGGGUGAGUAACGCGUAAGCAACCUGCCCUUCAGAUGGGGACAACAGCUGGAAACGGCUGCUAAUACCGAAUACGUUCUUUUUGUCGCAUGGCAGAGGGAAGAAAGGGAGGCUCUUCGGAGCUUUCGCUGAAGGAGGGGCUUGCGUCUGAUUAGCUAGUUGGAGGGGUAACGGCCCACCAAGGCGACGAUCAGUAGCCGGUCUGAGAGGAUGAACGGCCACAUUGGGACUGAGACACGGCCCAGACUCCUACGGGAGGCAGCAGUGGGGAAUCUUCCGCAAUGGACGAAAGUCUGACGGAGCAACGCCGCGUGAACGAUGACGGCCUUCGGGUUGUAAAGUUCUGUUAUACGGGACGAAUGGUACGACGGUCAAUACCCGUCGUAAGUGACGGUACCGUAAGAGAAAGCCACGGCUAACUACGUG
rnacentral:rRNA from 1 species